rnacentral:tRNA from 1 species
GGGUUAAGUAUACAGAUGGUUCUGUAAUAAAUCUGCAAAAUUUAAAUAAUAUAAGGUUCAAUUCCUUCUUAACUCU